GCUUGCCUACGGGACGCAGCAGUGGGGGAUAUUGCACAAUGGGGGGAACCCUGAUGCAGCGACGCCGCGUGGGUGAAGGAGCGUUUCGGCGCGUAAAGCCCUAUCGGCAGGGAAGAAGGAGGACGGUACCUGACUAAGAAGCCCCGGCUAACUACGUGCCAGCAGCCGCGGUAAUACGUAGGGGGCAAGCGUUAUCCGGAUUUACUGGGUGUAAAGGGGGGGCAGACGGGAGCGCAAGCCAGGAGUGAAAGGCCGGGGCCCAAACCCGGGAAUGCUCUUGG
rnacentral:rRNA from 1 species